GCUAAUCGGCAGAUUUAUUUGCAAAGCCUUCACUACAUAAUGUUCAUACCUCAAUUCUUUUCAUCUAACCCUGUCAUAAGCAAAAUCUGUACCUCAUAAAAUUGUCUAAAAUCAAUAUUUCUAAUCAAAUAGUUUAAUUUCUCUAUUUUAUUUUUUUACCACAUGAAGCACAAUGAGUGCUUAAAAUUUCAAUUCACAAGGUAAAACGUCAAAUAAAGUGUUUUAACAGAAUAUUUAAUGUAAUUUCAAGGUCACAGCAGAGUUGCCCUGCAGCCUCGUCGGCAAAGAGCAGGAAAUUCGGGAAAAAGCCUUAAAAAUGCUCCGAAACAGGAGGGAGGACCUCCGAAGGUCAGGAAAGAAGAGAGAAGGACUUCAGCUUCACUCCAACGACGUGUAAGACUACUGAAAAAAGGUGGGAGAACAGUGGCCCUUGGAGAAAUAACAGAAGCACUUAAGAUUUGCCUCCAGGACAUCACACCUCCUAUUAAGCGCCUUUACAAAGCAGGAGAAAGAGUGAAAUGGAGGAAAAAAUACAUAGAUGGGUCAAGUAAGCAGCAGGAGCAAAGAGCAGAAGAGGAAAUAGGAAAGAAGAAGGGAGAGGAAAAGAGAGAGAGAGGAGAGAAGACAGAUGAGGAGGGAAAAGCAGUGGAAGAAGGAAGCAACAAACGUAAAGGAGGAAGAGGCUAUGAAGA